GUUAUUUCCAUUUGGCAUUAAAUGUAUCUGAUGCUUCUGCUGAAUUCAACACAGCCUGAACUUGAUAGGGUAAACUUUUUUCGUUUUUAACAAGAAAACAUUCAUGAAAAUCUUCACUUUGGUCAUUAUUUGUUCAGGAAGGAAUCUAUUAGAGUUGGGGAAGAGUGGCAAUUAAAUUUAUAUUGGCCAGAGAACUAGAGCCUUCAAAAGACACCUAAUAUUUCUAUAGCUUCCCUUCAAUUUUUUGGGUUGUGGCCAAAUUGCCUACAUUUUGGAUGGACAGGAUUACUACUUGCACUGUUGGCAACACUUCCAGAUAUUUUGCAGCUCAGAUAUGAUGCCACAAAGGUAGGGGAAUGGGAGAAUGGAGAUAUGUCAUAAUAACUUAAAAAGAAAAAUUUUAAAGAGGACAUUCCUGUCCAUCUUUUAAAGCCUAACUCAAUGUGCAUGAAGUCUUCUCUAAUCUGCCACCAGAGCCUCUAAGUACCAUGAGGAUAUGGUCAAGAAAAAAAAAAGUAGAGUUCUCAAAUUCUGCUGCAUUUUAAAAAUUGCUGAAUCCUCUUCCUAAACUAUGCUUAAAUGAUGUUGAUUGCUCUAGAACUUCUCCAGCUACUUCUCAGCUCCUGUUUAUAUGUUUUCUCCCAGUAGAAGCUCCUUGAAGGUAGGUAUUAUCCUGCUUCCAUAUGUAUUCCAAGGACUUAAUA